CUACACGCGUGCUGCUUAAAUUGGUGGCCAUAUCCUUUCUUGGAACUUAACACUCCAUGGGCACCUUUGUGGUAUCUUGGUUUGGCUGCGGUCCACAUCCCCUGUUACGGAAUAUAUGCUCUGCUAAUCAAAGCAAAGGGCCGACUGUUCUCGAGAAUGUUUCCACAGACAUUUCUUAGGUCAUAUUAUUGAUCUUCCUGCCAUUUAUGAAAAGGCAAAAAGGCCCAACAGCCCCUAAACUUGCAUCAGAUUUUAAAGCCGGAACAUCAACUUUGGUCCUUUACUUAAUGAUUGAGUACUAUUAAACACAUAUGACCUUCGUGGUGUUCAAUUGCUACUGAUGUGGAAACAACCUCUUUGAGCCGAGGGUCUCCUGGAAACAGCCUAUCUGUCCCUCGGGGUAGAGGUAAGGUCUGCGUACAUAUUACCCUCCCUAGACCCCACUUGUGGGAUUACACUGGGUUGUUGUUGUUGUUGUUGUUGUGGUGGUGGUGUUCAAUUGCUACUGAUGUGGACAAAGUUUAAUACUUUUUACUACCACAUCUUCCACUCAUUCAUAGUUUUUUGACACUUGUAAAUGUGGUCCUACUAAUUUUCUCCUAUCAUUACUUUGUGAUAUGUGUAUUUUGCAGGUCC